rnacentral:rRNA from 1 species
UCUAACAUGUGCGCGAGUCGUUGGGCGCUGUACGAAACCCGAAGGCGCAAUGAAAGUGAAGGCCCGGUCUCCGGCCGGCCUGGGUGGGAUCCGGGCGGUCUCGGCGCUCGCGCACCACCGGCCCGUCUCGUUAGCCGCGUCUAAGAGGCGGAGCAAGAGCGUACACGUUGGG